CCUACGGGAGGCAGCAGUGAGGAAUAUUGGUCAAUGGGCGGGAGCCUGAACCAGCCAAGUCGCGUGAGGGAAGACGGUCCUAUGGAUUGUAAACCUCUUUAGGAGGGGAGCAAUGCCGGGCACGCGUGCACGGAGGGAGAGUACCCGCAGAAUAAGCAUCGGCUAAAUCCGUGCCAGGAGCCGCGGUAAUACGGAGGAUGCGAGCGUUAUCCGGAUUUAUUGGGUUUAAAGGGUGCGUAGGCGGAUUUUUAAGUCAACGGUAAAUGUCCGGGCUCAACCCGGGCCGGCCGUUGAAACUGGGGAUCUUGAGUGGGCGAGAGGUAGGCGGAAUUCGUGGUGUAGCGGUGAAAUGCAUAGAUAUCACGCAGAACUCCGAUUGCGAAGGCAGCAUACCGGCGCCCUACUGACGCUGAGGCACGAAAGCGUGGGGAUCGAACAGGAUUAGAUACCCGAGUAGUC
rnacentral:rRNA from 1 species